GCCCCUCUCACAGUGUCCUUGGGCUCUGCCCGCUGCCCUCCCCUCAGGCCCAGGGAGGGGAGCAAGGAGAAGGCAGGUGCGCGCAGCAAGCGGGCCCUGGAGGAAGAGGAGGGUGGCACGGAGGUCCUGUCCAAGAACAAGCAAAAGAAGCAGCUGAGGAACCCCCACAAGACCUUCGACCCCUCUCUGAAGCCAAAAUAUGCAAAGUGUGACCAGUGUGGAAACCCAAAGGGCAACAGAUGUGUGUUCAGCCUGUGCCGCGGCUGCUGCAAGAAGCGAGCCUCCAAAGAGACUGCAGACUGCCCAGGUCACGGAUUGCUUUUUAAAACCAAAUUGGAGAAGUCUCUGGCCUGGAAAGAGGCCCAGCCUGAGCUGCAGGAGCCUCAGCCAGCAGCACCUGGAACACCAGGUGGCUUCUCCGAAGUCAUGGGCAGUGCCCUGGCCUGAAGGCCCACAACCCCCACCCCCAGGACUGCUGCUGGAGCCUGGACACGUCCUACUUAAGAAAAUGCCUUUUACUCAGGGAAUCUCCUGCUACUUAAUGUGGAAAGACACGCCCAUGUCCCCCUUCGGCCCACUCUGGGGGCCUGGAAAUGCUGCAGUGGGGAGCAGGCCCCAGGCUGGACCUGCCCUGUCCUCAGCACGCGUGUGCAAAAG
rnacentral:lncRNA from 1 species